rnacentral:tRNA from 1 species
GGGUUCAUGGCGCAGUGGUAGCGCGUCCGCUUUGCAUCCAAGGCAAGGCUGCGGAAGGUCUGGGGUUCGAUCCCCCAUGUAUCCA